CUACCUCUGUGUCCAUAUUUGGUUAUUCCUGUUCUCAUUAUUAGUUAAUCACCUCAUUGUGCUCACCUGUCUGCCCUCCUUAUCUGCCCUAUAUCAGUUCCUGUGGAUUGUGUUCUAGUUUGUCGGUUAUUGUGAAUUGUGCGCGUGCGUUCAACGUUAUUAAAAGUCACCUGCUGAGCGACUCAGGAUACCCUUUAAAACGCUGGCUUCUCACCACUUACAGCAGGGACUGCUUUGCUAACUUACAUUUUGGAGACUCUUGCACUCUGCGCAAACCCUGUGUCUAGUGAGGGAGAAGUCUCAUCUGGAGGACACGGGGAGAUGUCCUGAG